rnacentral:misc_RNA from 1 species
AACACUGUUAACCUGCGGUACCUGCGGAAGGAUCAUUACGAGAGUGUCACCACUCCCAACCCAUUGUUUACCUACCCGUCCACCGUGCUUCGGCAGGCAGCCCUGUGGGACAGAGCCUCGCCCCCUUUCGCGGGGGGUGCCUGCCGCUUGCCAACCAAAACUCUAGCUGUUUUAGUACCAUCUGAGUCUUCCACAAAUGAACAAAACUUUCAACAAUGGAUCUCAGAUCGGAAGAGCACA